UUUUAUUUUGUUUUGUUUUUGUUUUGUUUUUUUAGGGUCCCCGCUCAUGCGAAGUGACAAAAACUUCAUGGAAAUUAGAGGGAUCCGUUUUCAAUGUGAGGCAGGAACGGAGCAAACGCUUUGUACCGGGGAUCACUUUAAUUAGACUAGAAACAUGGGCACUGUUGACUUACUUGAGUCUUGCUGAACUCUUGUUACCCUAUCCGUUUGUUUAGAUAAAUUCCUGUCUUCAAAAAAUAACACACACAUGACUUGAAUAGAAGAAGCCUGUAUACCAUUUGCCCUCUGCCUCUGUGAGGUCUGUGAGGUCUGUGUCCAAGGAUUCAACCAAGGAUGGGCAAUCCUCUGGAAGGAAGCGGCAUUUUUACUGACUGUGUCUAGCCUAUUUUCAAAGGGUCAUUUCCCGAACAAUACAGUGUAGCAACUGCUUAGGCAGCAUUUACAUUGUAUUCGGUAUACAAGGGUAUCUGCAGAAAUCUAAAGUAUAUGGGGCAGGGUGGGGGGGCAGUUACAUACAGACUCUACUGUUCUGUGUAAGGGACUUGAGCAUCCACAGGCUUUGGUACCAUGGGGGAUGCUGGGAAGGACAGCUGUAUUUCAGCAUGUGUCCAUUUGUGAGGGCUGUAAUAACAUUAAUGCUAGCGAUGUUAGCCCUGUGCUAUUAGUGGUGCUCCGUACUGUGGUAUUAGAUGAGUAUAAAAGGCUAAUUAUCAAACAAUUACCACUCAUGAAAUGCUUCCCAUAUCCAGGCAGCGCGUGUGCUGUGUAGAUUAGGCACAGAGGUUCACUUCACCAUCACAACACUUCUGCUAAGCAGCGUUUAACUAUUAUCAACUUUUUACUGAUGGAGAAACCAAGGAUCAGGGAAGUCAACUGCUCCAGUUCUCACAGAGAGCAAAUGGAAGAGCUGUUCUCAAAUCCAGGCCCAGAGGACUCGGAAAACUUCUGCCUCCGGCACCACAGAAGACAGCAUCCCCGUCUGUCAAAAAGGGGCUGCUUCAAAUUCUAUUUCCAGCGAGGGCAUUUCGAGAUCCAAGGGUAAACUCAGGGGUUGGAGGACGGCCUGUCCUCCACAGCCAUCCUGGCCUUGUCCUGACAGAGAGCCGAGGGAAGUAGAGCUCACACCGGCCAGGGCAGUUGUAUAAAACUGAAAUGCACGUUGUUUCAGAGCUCCAGCAAAAUUUGGGAGCAAGGUAGAAUUUGUCUACUGUUCCGCCUUAAAAUAUUCAUGAAGCAAAGAAGCACUUCGGCAUUCAAUAGUUAGACGGCUAAAAUCUGCAAGUCGUGUUUACUGAUCAUGAAGGAAGGACAUGUUCCUAGAAGCACUGAGGUUCCAAUCAGCGAUCUUGCAAGUUGCCAUGUUACAGUGCAAAAACAAACAAACAAACAAAACAAACAACAAACAAACAAAUGAGACAACAGUGUUGCUGUUGCCUAGAGAAAAAAAAAAUCUUCCCCACCACUUUCUCUGCUGGAGAGAAAGGCUGAGUCAAAAUUAAGAAUGCAUCUAGGUUUCGCCUGCAAACCAGCUGUGGGAGAAUAAAAAGGCAUGGGGGAGGGGGGUAGCAACUUCUCCCUCAUUAGAAGAAUUGUUUUAAAUGGGUGUGAUGGUGCCGUAAAGGUUAGGUUUGACAGUUGUUAAUAUUUUGAUUGUCUUAAGAAACCCACACAGAGAGCCAGGGAAGGAAAGCGGAUGAACAAAAACGUGAGUUAAUGGUGGGGCCCCGUGUUGUUCUCAGUGCUCUGGCUGCAAGCGUUAUGAACAGAAUUCAAGCUGGGGCAUGCCUUGCUCUUGGAGUCAUUGGAAAGCUGUGUCCAGGGUGUCCCUCCCCCGGGGGUCACUGUCCACCUCUCACGAGGCUCCUGAUUAUCUCAGCACUAAACGAGGGGGCUAAGGGAGUGCUUCCCAGAGGGUGUCUGAUGGUGGGACAGACUUAAAGCCAGAGCCAGGUAGGGUAGAGACGCUGUGGUUGGUGUGUGUGUGUGUGUGUGUGUGUGUGUGUGUGUGUGUGUGUGUGUGUGAACUAGAGUGUCUACCGUCAUCCUGAAGUGGUGGAGUUGAGUGGGAAGAGACAAGAGAGGCUGGCAGCAGGCUGAGAUCCCAGAUGUACUCCUUCUGGGGUGUCACAAGGACAAGGGGAGGGUCUGCAUGCAAACUGAUGAGUAUGCAGGUAACGUGAGCCACCCCCCAGGAAGAACCCAAUAGACACUUCUGGAGAGAAUGUACCCUGAGAUCUGUUCUGAUCCCUUAUUUUCUCCCAAUAACUAUUAUGGUUUGGAUCUACAAUGUGACCCCAAAGCUUAUGAGCUGAAGGCUUGGCCUCUAGUGUUGCAAUAUUCAGAAGUGGGGCCCAGCUAACCAGACCACGAAGGUCCUGGUCUCAUGAAUGGGCUGAUUCUUUGGUGGGUGCAUACUUCCUGGGCUCUAGGGAUGCUGGGGUCGGGGGAAGCUGUAGAAAGUAGAGGCUGGUGGGAAGAAGCAGGUUACUGAGGGCUUAUUCUCGAGGUGACAUUGUGUGCCCUUCCUUCUGCUGUUAUGAGGAGAGUGGCUUGGCUCUAACACAUGCAGACCAUGAGGCUCUGAAUCAUCACAAUGGAGUCAAGUGGCAGCGACUCCUCUGAAGCUGGGAACUAAGAUUAAUAAAGCCCUGCCUGCUUUGAGGUGUCCGCCUCAAGCACUGAGUGAUGCUCCAGUUGAAAGUGCAAGGCAGGCACCGCUCCACCAUUAUCCCACUGUAGAGUGCGGGAAGCUGGAGUUCAGGGAGGUUAAGUGAUUUGCUCUGUCACACGCUGAAACUUUGAACCCGUGUGUACUCAUCCCAGGGCUGCCUUUCCUUUGCUAUGUCUUGUUUGACCUUGGCUUGGUUACUUCCGGCUGCACGGGACUCAUGAGUCCUUUGAGACUGAUGGUAACAUUGCAAAGGGGAGCUUUUUGCUUUUUCUUGUUUUCACCAGGUUUUACGGUCUCCACCUCUAACUUCAGCCUUAGUUCCUUGUUCCGCCACCGGCACCUGCAGAGACGUAUUCUAUCUCCCACGCCAAUCUUCGAAGCUACACAUGGCUCCUGCUUUUGGUUCUCUCUCCUCUGAGCUGAGACAUCCUCAGUGUAUCCCUUUUCCUUCCUAGCAGAGGAUUUCAAGAUCCUCUACUUAAUCAGGCCUUGGAGGACAGUCUAGUCUCUGUCCCCAUGGUGUUUCGCAGGGUGCAUCUUGUGUAGACAUUCCACCUCAGCUGAUUUCGGAUGCAGGUUAACUCCUCCUGCCAGCAGGAGAUGGGGUCCCAAGACCCAGAGCUGAAGGCAGCCUUCCUGUGCUUUGGAUUCUUGGCCUGGAGGCCAGUGCUCUGAGGAGCCCUCUACCUCUGCACCAGAGUUCAUCUCCUUCACUAUCUCCACCCCUGACAGACCCGGCACAGUGCACAGUUGAGCCAAGUGCCCCUUGAGUAUGCCAAAGCUGUUGUGUGGCUCUGAGAGACUACCAGUGAGUUACAACUGCACAGAUGAUAGAUAGGCAACCACUCCUGCAUUGCUGGAAUAAAACACCUUACAAAGGAAAACUUAAGGAGGUAAGGGUUUAUUGUGGCUCGACAUAGGUGGUUACAGUUCAUUGUGGGAGCAGGAGUAUGAGGUGGCUUUGCUUCAGUCAGGAAGCAGAGAGAGAGAAAUGCUGGGAUUCAGCCCCCCCCACCCCCCACUUUUUUAAAUUUAGGAUCCAGGUCCCUAGCCUGUAUUCAGGAUGGGUCUUCCUGCCUCAGUUAAGCUAGUCUAGACACCCAGAGACAGUCCCAGAGGCUUGCCUCCUGGGUGAUCGAUCCUAGGUCUUGUCAAGUUAAUGAUCAAUAUUAGUCAUCACUUAAAGACAAGAUGGGGUUGGGGAUUUAGCUCAGUGGUAGAGCGCUUUGACUAGCAAGUGCAAGGCCCUGGGUUCGGUCCCCAGCUCUGAAAAAAAAGAAAAAAGAAAAAAAAAAAAAGACAAGAUGUUCCUGCAUCCAGGGGCUGGGCCUGCGAUCGGGCCUCUGAACUGCUGUGGUGCUGUGGCGCUGUGGGUGGGGCAGAAACUAAGCGCCAGGAGUAAAAGCAAUACAUGCCUCCGUGGGAGCAUGGUUGCUUUUCUAGCUUUCACGAGUGAUGGGGCUACAGAUAUUGUAGUCCCCAUUUUCUGGUGGCCAAGAGGCUUCAUUAGGACCGGGUUGGAGCUUCUGCUGAGGCUUCCACUCCACCGCCAUCCUGCCUCACAUUCUCUGGGGCAGGUCCGCUGGUCCCCUCAAUGGCGUUCCUACUGCAUUCUGUACCCCACCAGGUUCAGGUGCACUGCUGACCCAGCCUCAGGCACAGUUUGACAUGCAGAGGUGUUUUUCCCUGUGCAUCCACUGACUUGCUAGCAGCUUCCAUGCUGCAGGGGAAUAGCACAGUCUGGGGGAAGAGGGGAUCCACUCAACAUUAAGGACACCGCCCACCAUGCCAGGGAGAGCUGGUUCUCCAGCUGGAGGGGGUGGGGAGUAAAGCUCUGUUCACAAGCAGCCCUGACUUGCAAGGGUGCAGGGGUGGACGGGUGAGUGUGAGGCCGGGUCCUACUGCUCUGAACUGCUCAGAUCCGGCCCUCUCCCACGCCCCGCACAUUAGCCUCUGCCUGGAGAGUUGCCUGGAGAGUGAAGGAAGAAAUGGAAAUUGCAUGAAAAGAGGAGGAAAGAGAGCAGCUGGAGAAUAUUGCCGACCAUUUGGUGUGAUAACCCAGGGCUCUGGGGAAUGCCAAAGCGGGCCUUCGUUCUCAUCUCUCAUUUCUUUUAAUCUAGCAGAUAAUUAGAGGGAAAUCAAAUCCCUCCCCACAGCCAAAGAUUAACCUGUCACGGCCGUAGCUCUUCCUACUUACUGCACCACCGCUUCUCCCACACUUUCUCCCUAAACAGCGUGAGCACACACACACACACACACACACACACACACACACACACACACACACACACACACCCCUCUCACACAGUGGACCACUUACUUCAAACUAUUCAGAUUGGACAUUUCCCAGUGCAAGGGCUCUCCCAGGAAUAAGCAAGAUUCUCCCUCCCUCCAAAGCAAGAACUUUUCAUUGCUUUGCAGAUUUAAAAAAAAAUAUAUAUAUCCAACUGAAAAACUCCCUUUUAUGGAUGAAGGAAGCAGAGUGCAGAGUGAGGAGACAAAACCUUUUAUGGCUAUAAAUGACAGAGCAGGGAUUUACCUCUGAAGCAUCUGACUGCAGAGCCCUGUGCCUACCCACUCUGCUCCCCAUCUACUCAAAAAAGCCAUGAGUGGCUCUCUGCUCUCUUCCCUCAGAGGACGUGGUAAUUAUAUGCAGGGGAAACAAACCCCUGCCUAACCCUUGAUAAAAAUCCUGCCCACCAAGGGUCUAACUUCUCUCUACACCCCAGCUUAUGCUUCAGCCCUUCCGGUUUGGGACCUGACUGAAAGCCUAGACACUUCCUGGUGGCCUGAGAUUCUUUCUCACACAGAGUUACCUGCUCAUUUGCUUAGCCCACAUAAAUCGAGAGACAAGACAUCGUUCUAGCUCACAGUGAAGAAACAAGACAGGUCUCCAUUUUAUUCACUGAGGCAGUCUCUUUCUCUGAACCCAGACCAGCCUGCUGUCCCACAGAGAUCCCUCCUCCCUGGAAACACAGGUGACCUCUACCAUACUCUCUACCACACAGGUGGCCAUAUCACACCACGCUGUUUUUUUUUGUUUUUGUUUUUGUUUUUGUUUUUGUUUUUGUUUUUGUUUGUGUGUGUGUGUGGGGGGGGGUUCUGGAGUCUGAAUUUCCAUCCUCAGGGUUUAAUGUGACAAGCACUUUAUCCACAAUGUUAAUGUCCAUCCAGUUUCCCAUCUCCACUCUUAUAGGGGGAGGGUCACCUGCAUACCAGUGGUAGAGGGACCCAGAUGCUGCCUGAUGUCCCUCUGGAAGAACACUCCUCAGGAAAUCCACUUUCCCAGCAGCCUCGAAGUGGCUCCCUCAGCAGACUACACAUAGGAAAGGCUUACUCCUCAUUCAACGGUUCCACAUUUUGAGAUGGAAAUAACUUGGUGUGUUUCACACAGAGAAACUCGUGUAUCAUUAGCCACCUCCUGUCUGUCUUCCCAUGAAACCGCAGGCACAUAUUUCUAGUUUACUGACAACCCGUCCGAGCCUGAGACCUUUGAGGACCAGAGAGUCGCCUUAGGUGCAAACCACAAUGUCCCCAACCUUUGGAGGGUUGGGUGAUGGAGUCUCCAACUUUGGCCUUAGAUAAUAAAAUUCUGGCCCUUUUUCUCCAGGAAUGGCACACACAUACACAAGAUCCUGUGUCACCUCUGGGCUCCUUCAAGACCAUGCACAUUCCGCUCUGAAAAAAAAAGGAGCUCUGGAUUCUUUCUUUUGACACCAGGCUGCCCUCCUCUGGGCUCUGGGUUUCCAUGGCUCUUCCUUCUGCCUCCCUCCUCUCUUAGAUCUACUUCACACACCUGCCUUUCCAGCCUCCCUGAACUCCUCAGAGCUCGCUGCAGAGCCUCCUGCGGUGGCUGUUUCCUCCCCCGGGGACGUCCUUCUUCUUGUCUUUGUAUUUCAAGCCCUACUCUGGCUUUACACCUCAGCUGAAGUGCUGUCUCUUCAUCUACUUAAACAGUUCUUCCUGCCAGGAAAUGCUGUCUCCAUAGCUCUUCCUCCUUGACAAUUUCUCCUUGCAUUCGCUGUGCUUAGCCUGCUCCACAUUAUAGGUCUCAGUGUACGGGUCUCGCCUCCCCUCCUGGGCUGUGAGCUAAUUGGCUUCUGGCGUCCUCCUCUUGACACACAGUAAGUGCUCAACAAACACUGGAGAUAAAGCAGUCUCGUUUCUCUAAGUCACCGCUGAUGCAAAUGAUAUGCAAACGAACAUUCCAACAGCGGCCUUACCUUGACCCAGACUUCUUCUAUGUAGAUGACACCUCCAGAGGCACUUGGGAUCUGUGUAUGCGGCUCCACCGGGGUCAGCGUAAAGAAUUCUUUGGCAUCAGCUGAACUUCGGGGUUUUAAUCAGAGAUCAGCUGUGGUGUAGAUAGAUGGACCAAUCUACAGGACAGAGAGACGGCUCCUCUGGAAGACUCUUUCCAGAAGCAUGAUCACCGUCAGAGGGUGCCGCCCCCUUUUUAGGAUGGCAUGCUUCCUAAAGUGCGCAUAAUUCUGGAGAGGUGGCUCCGGAGUUAAGAAUGCUGGCUGCUUUCUCAGACAACUGGGGUUCAAUUCCUAGCACUCACAUGGAUAAAAUAAAAAUCAUAAGUCUUUUUAAAAUAUGAAUACGUCUUUCCUAUUAUUAUUCAGUACAGCCAAUGCAAGUGGGAGGAGUCAGUCUGUGAGCUUUCUGAUCCGUGUGCUUCCUCUACUCUUCUUGAGGACAGGACACAGUCACAGUCCUCGGUCACUCCCAGCUAUGCCAACGGUGUGCCUGGGGAGGUUCCUCUUCUCAGUUCUCUCAGAAUGCUUCACCUUUGUCCUGGGUUCCAUGUAGAAUCUCUCUGCUUUGGAGUUUCUACCUGUUGGUUCUAAUGGCGGAGGAUUCCAGAGACAUGCUUGUCAAGGUAAGAAGGAAAGAAUGGCCGUCUCCAAUUGCACUGAGGCAUCAGGCAGACUCCCUCUGUCUUUUACAGCAAACAGGGUUGUUAUCAUGGUGGGAAGGGGUAAAUAAAGUGGGAGUAGACUGCAACAAGUUACUGUGGGAAAAGGGCCCUCUGGGCUUCCGUAAGUCAUGUUGCAAGCAGCUGUAGUUGAAUCAGAGGCAAGCGAAGGUAACCCAGCUUCCAGGCAUCGCAAGCUCCAUAAAAUCUCCUCAGAUUCCUCCAUGCCUCCAUUCCUGGCACCCUUUAUAAACUCUGGGGUCCCAAAGGGUUGUAAUUUCCAAGGAGAGUCCAGUUACCAGACAGAACGACAUCCAGGAAGGAAGGGCAAGUAAAAUGGCCCCUCUGGACCGAGUCUCGACUUUUUCCUCAGACUAGGACCUCAUCUGAGAACAGCUGGGGACUAUGUCUGAUAGAUUUUCAAAACAAAGACUUGGACAACCAAAAUCUAUAUAAUAGACUAUAUAAAGAUUAUAAUCUAUAUAGAUAAUAAUCUAUUAAAACUCUUAACACAUGCUAUAGUAUGGCUGAAUCUCAGGGACAUUAUACAAAGGAAAGAAACCAAUUACAAAAGAGUGCUUAUUGUGAAACUCUGUUAAAACAAAACAAAACAAAACAAAACAAAACAAAACAAAACAAAACAACCUACCAAGGGCAGGAAAUCCAUGGCAGAUAGGUAGCCCCCAAGGAUGGUAGUGGUCAGCAGGGGGUGGGGAGGAGAGAGAUCGGGGAUGUCGGAAGUGCUUACAGGGAUGGGUUUCUCACAGAGUGACAAACAUGUUUGGAACCUGGUAGACUGAUAUCCCUAUAACACUGGAGAUGUACCAAAUGUCACUAAAUAUCACUGGAUUGUACACUUUUGGGGAAGGGGUUGCUUUGGAUCAAAUCUAAGGCCUCAGACAUGCUAGGCGACUUUCCAUAAUCGAGUCACACCUCAGGCCCUCAAGGUGAAUGCUCUCAAAGUUUACAGUAUAUGAAUUUUACUUCCACAGUCUUAAGAGUUAGCCUCCUUAGUUCCAUGUUCUUUGGGCUCUUCCACUGAGCCCCAGCAGGGACGGAAAUCAGUAGUGUCUAGUUACUAAAAGGUUUCCGGUCAACUUAGCUUGCUGUGGUGGUUGUCUCCCUGCUUUACUCCAAAGGUAAUUUCUCCUAACCUCCCACACACACGAGCCCCAGCGACAUCUUGCUGCCUGGUGUCUGCGGUAGUCCAUGGUGAUCUCCCCACCUCAGAUUUAUGCUCCAUCACUGGUCAUAAACUCACAAUUCUGCAAGGAUAUAACGACCAAUCCGUGCUUUGGCUUGUUUCCUCGCCGAGCAGUCAAGUGUACGUUAGAGACUUACUGUCAACAGUAUGGUGGCACUUCACCUAAGACCCCAGGCUCAGGGAGCUGAGACACGAGAACCAAGUACAAGUUCCAGGCCAGCAUGGCCCACACAGGGAGGCUGCUUCUCAAAAACCAAUGGCAAACCAAAUUUAGAAAGCGCCCACUAAAUUGUUUCAUUUGGAUGUAGUUAUCGUUGAUCUAUUUACAUGCCCUUAUCUAUUAUGUAGACUCAAAACAGCCAUGCGACUUGCUGAAGCCCUUACUUGUAACUCACUACAAAGUGAAGACUUGCAUGUUGUCUCUUAGCCACAAAAGAAAGCAUUUUUUUUUCUUGUUUGAGACACCAUCUGAUUCUGUAGCUCAGGACUGGGCAGGAAUUCACUAGGCAGAGCAGGUUUUCCUUUGUUCCUCGGCCUCAUGAGGAUUACGGGCAGAAACCCUCAUGCCCAGCAAAGGAAGUACCGUUAGCUCUGUGCAGAAGGCAGUCACUGGGGUCAGGCUCCUCUGCACACAGAACUCCUGUGACUGCUCCCAGUCUCACAGGAGCAGUCCUGGGGGUUACAGGAACCAGGUUGUAUGGAGGUGCAGGGUGCAGGGUGUAUAGUACCCUACGUGCUGGCACCUUUCUAAUGGUUCUUCUGCACCUUUCCCGGGAAGCCUGGGGGUCUCAGGACAUCUGCUUAAUUAAGAUUGAGUGGGGCAAAUGAAAUGCCCCCACCCCAGCUGUUUUGAUGACAAACACCCCAGGAAGGAACUAAAAAGGACCAUACCACGGGCUCUAGAACUGGGCAUAGAGACACACACUUUUAAUCCUCCUGCUUCCGGGGAGGCAGAAACCUGAGGGUUGUGAGUUCAGGGCUUGCCUGGGCUUCAUAGUGAGACCCAAGUCAAACAACAGCAAGAGGAAAUGGAAAACUCUGCUACUGCAGGUAAAUUCCAGCCUGGAGUUCUACUGUGACAUUGCUCAAUACAGUUACAAUGGCGUGGUCUCAGAACUGCAGCCACAGGCUUUGGCCUCACAGCCCUACACAUUUUUAUGUUUCCCCACCCUGUGCUCCAUCCCGUUACUGCGAGCCAUAGGAACUGAGAAUAAUUUCAGCCUCAAGCCUGGUAAAGUUACCUCAGUAACAAUUGUUUAUGUGUUCAUGCACUUUGCAGACUGCAGUGUGCUCUUGUGCACGCUGGCUAAACAUAAAGUAAAAAGGUGAAAUUAAGGGAGAAGUCAGUAAAUGGCACUUAGCGAGUCACGCAUCUCCUUAUGCUACAGGUAAGAAAGAGGGAGAUGAAAGGGUUUCUAGAUUAGAAAUGGAGCCGGAGCCCUAAAAAUUCUAUCCCUGGAUAUCAAUACAAACGUCAAUGCUUUUUAAAUUAAAAAUGAGACACUGCUGCUUAUGACUUGACAAGUUAUAAAAUGCCUCUUUCGUCCUUCCCAAUCAAUGGUCCUGGGCUCCUUGGCAAUUACAUCUCAAAUCUUCAGCUCUGGUGGAUUGUGUAGGUAACGCGAAACAAGGAAAGGGAAGAGGGGUGCCCGUCUCGCCGUGCUGCUUUACCGUGAAGGGCAGAGCCUCUGCUCCUCUGUGCUUGGUGACAAAGGUUAAAGAAUGCUCGGGCCUCCUACCCGAGUACUAACUGGCCCUGACUGUUUAGCCUCUGAGCUAGGAGGAGACGGGCGCAUCCAGGGCGGUAUGGCUGUAGGAGAGACCUCCGACGGGCUGUCUAAUCCCAAGUGAUCAGCCCUAGGCACACAUAUGUAGCAGCAACACUGAUAUGCUUGGUAGAUUACAUAUAUGAUUUACAUAUACAUAUAUAUGAUGAUCGAAGAGGAGGUAGUGACUAUUAAGUUAGAGUGAUGGUGGGACGGGCACGUGAGGAGCUGGAGAGGGUGAGUGAGAAGUGGAAAGAACGCAAAUAUGGCACCCAUUCAGGAAAUUUGCAAAAGAGAAAAAAACCUUUAACUUAAAAUUUGAAAGUAUGCUCGAGCCACACCAUGGACUUUGAACUUCUUAUUUCCAGUGAAGACGUCAGAAUACCGAUGUGUCAAGGUCAUCCUAAAAUAAUCUGUGCCACCAUGCUGUAGAAAGCCACCUACUUCUCUCUGUUGGGAAUCUCAUCUUGGCUGCUGAGAUCAAUAACCAUUACAGAAAAGAUUUUUAAGGAGUGUGCUCUAUGGCGAUUAAUCUGACUAAAUUGCAGCUCUAAUUGGUGUUUUUUUCUGAGGGUGAGUAGUGAGAGUAGCAGUAUUUAGUCGGUGGCCCUAUCAUUUGUCCUCUGUCGGGCCAUAGAUGCUCUGAGGACCUGGAGGCCCAAGGACCUCAUCUCCGAAGCAGGAGUCAAUGGAGGCCACACAGACAGAACUGGCUGUUGGUGAUGACAUCACUCUCAGGACAGAUCAGGGGAAUGGUUACAACCCAGCCUGCCUGAGGAUAAUAUGACCAAUCUUAAAGACUCACAUUUCCCGGAAGUUCUCAAGAAGUUACUUCACCUGCCUGGGACACAGCAGAGACAUGAAGGAACCGGCAGAAAGCAGUAACACACUAGAGACUUACUGGAUCUCCCUUUUCUUCUUCAUCGGGUCCAUGAGGCGCAGCGUGUCUCUGAUCACGGCCACCUUCACUUCUUCGUCCACCAGGCUGGGGAUAUUUUCAAACACUCCUGGAGAAAGCUUGGAAGAUACUUUCCUGACGGUGACACCAGAGCAUCAAACCAGGCUGGAAAGCCACUCCAAACGUGGGACCCUGUGCAGUGACUCCACACAUUUCCCCACCACCACAGGCCGGGCCGCACUCAAGGCUCAUUCCAGCACCAACUGCUGGGCACCUGUGCUUGAAUCCAGCACCGACUGGCACCAGGUGAAGCUCGGCCAACCAGCCCCCCCUUGCCUCUGAACCCUUCCUUAACAAGUCUGUCAGACCAAGUGCCCCUUGCUCUCUCCCUUUCAUAGUCCUCCACCUGCUUAACUUCUCAUCCUUGAGAUCCUUCCUCAUGAGGUUCAGACUUGAACUCCACAGACCUCAGAUUCUGGGGUGGGGGAGGGGGUCUCUAUCUCUACAGAAGGAAGAACAUUAGAACAUUUCCAACAACAUUGACACAACCCUGGGGUCUCAAAAAAAAUAAUGCAGGAGGACAAGUGGAAAGAAAAGAUAAAGGUACAGUGUAGACACCUCUUCAUCUAUGGACCUCAGAGGGAGAGAUGACAGGAAUCCAUUUGCUCAUCCGUACAGAAUAUGCAUUAGUUAAAUGAUAAUUAUCAAACUGUAUUCAUCUAUAUUAAUGAAAUCAAAGUCUGGAUGGCCAUUUUGGGGAAUGAUUCAAAAUGAACUUCUGUCUUGGUGAAGGGCAAUCAGGAUGAGGAGCUGGGAAAAAUCGCCCUUGGACUAUUUUUCUUCCUGUGGUCAUGAAAAGUCAGGGAUGGAAAGCAGUAGAUAUGCUGCAUGGAUCACGGACCUGCUUAAUAAUAAAUGACACGUGGGUAUGAGUGAUGAGGCCUUUAAGAGAUCUGGUGACAUCAUCAGGGUAACUUUGGACUUGGCCCGAGCCACGUGCUGCAGGUGAGGCCGAGGACAAUGGCUGGUGCCAGCGCUGGUCAUCCUUAACUGUCUGCCCCACCUUUCUGCUGCACUUUAAAAGUACGGAUUUACAUUUUUUCAAAGGAGGUAGACACUUUUCUGUCCCAGGCCCGGUGGACUGGUAAAUGAACAAAAACAUUGAGAGCUGGAGGAGGGGGCAGUUGAUGCCGUCCACUCAAGAAUCAGAAUUUGGAAUGUAUUGAAUCUUAUGUGCUUUGGAAUCAGAAAGUCCUGGGCUCCCGUCUUAGCCCAGUUUCCCCCACCAGCUCUUUAACAGGUUUUUACUCUCUGAGCCCAUUACCUUGUUGAAAAAUGGGCAUAAAAUAGAGGCCCUACAGGGUCAUGAGUCACGGCUAUGAAAAGAAGUACCUGAGACUGUGCUCACCAUAUAGAAGGUGACCUAGGCUAGCUCUCUUUCCAGUUUCCAACUGAGCCAUCAGCAUGAAAUUGGAAUGGCAUGGGUAUGCUGUAGAAUCGCAAGGAGCCACUCAUGUUCCAGCUCUGCUUUUGUGACUGAAGGCAAGCUUCUCAGUGCCUCUAGGCCCCACUGUCUUUACCUGUAAAAUGGGAAUGAGAGCUUUCACACAUUGGUGCGAUAUUUACCUAAUAGUUUCUACAACCAAGCACCGUCAAGUCAGACUCAGAACGGGAUACAUUCUGCAAACACCAGAUGGACCGUGUGCCUAAGGAAGCUCAAGCAAUGUUAUAGCUUUCCUAAGUUUAAGGACGUCUGAAUUAUUUUCCUCUCAACAAGUUUGCUGAUGAACUGUCUUGGACUCAAAGGACUGGGAACAACUUUGAUUUGGAUCUUGCCAUUAAAAUCCCAGACUGUCUAAACUGGAAAAAAAAAGUCUGGAAUGUUCUUGGUCCACAACUUCCGAGGAUGGUGUUCUUUUGGAAGGAGGAAGCCGGACAGAUUGGAUCAACUUUGAUGCAUUUUUAAUAUGUUACUUCCAGGAAGAGACGUUUGUGUAUUUUUCUUUUUGUCUUUUUUUGAGAACCCAUUAAUCUUGUCUAGACCCUUCUCUUAGGAGGCCCUAGGAACCUGUUGCUUGGGAAGGGAAGGAGCUCCCUCUAAGUCUGUCCUACAGUUGCAGCACGGCAAGCGUUGUCAAAUGGAGAGGUGGCUUUUCAGUUGUGUGAUCUGCAUUAUGGAGCCUUUCAACCAACACUUACAUGGUGAGGCCUCCAACCUGAAGGCUGCCCUGGCAUUUAGAACCAUCUGGGCUUCACUGUUGACCUCUAGAAGCUCAGACUGAGGUGGAGAGGGUCCUGAGUGACUGACUGUAGACUCACACAAAGACUUCGAGCUACAUUCCACAGAGAGAAUGCUCUCUUCUGAGUGAGCUAUAGAUCACCCAAAUCAACUAUUCUCAACAAAGGAGGUCUGGGACUCCUCAAAGCAUACAUGUAACUACCAAUGGCCUAUGAACUCUAAUGUUCCAAUGAGUCCCAUCUCCCAGGAUUCAAGAGUUUGUGCAACCCCCAACUAGCUCUACCCACUUGAGUGAGAGCUAGGUUUAUUAGUACCUGUUUCUGACAGAAAGGCAGAAAUGAUGGCGUGCCACUUUCAACAUUAAGUUAAAAAAAGGAUAGUGGCUUCUGUUUUGGGGUGCUCUUCUCUACUCUGAAAGAAGCCACCAGGCAUGCAAGUGAGCUUCCCUGAGGAGAAGGAUAGAAUUGACCUGCCACCUGCAGUCUAAGGGCUAAGGACCUAAGGGCUGUCAACACUGAGUGAACUUGGAGGAGGACCUUCCUCAGGCAGGCAGGCCCUGAGAUGACUGACAUCCUGGCCAGCCUGGAGACUGGAGCCAAAGACACAUCAAAUACUCCCAGGUUGUUUUGUUUUGUUUUGUUUUGAGAAGGGGGAGGGACCUCACUGUGUAGCCCUGACUAACCUGGAAUUUGCUAUGUAGACCAGACUAAUCUCUAACUUGCAGAGAUCUACCUGUCUCCUCAGUGUUAGAAUUAUACCCCUAGAUCUUUAAAUUUUUAUUAUGCUGGGGUUUUUAGAUUUAUUUAUUUUAUUGUUUUCUGUGUAUUAGUAUUUUGCUUGCUUGUACAUUUGUGCACCGUGUGUGCCUGGUGCCUGCUGAGGUCAGAUGUUAAAGGAGUUGUGAGCCUGCAUGUAGGUACUAGGGAUUAAAACCAUCAAACAAAUGCUCUUACAGGCUGCGCCAACUCUCCAGCCCCUCCCUGUAGUUUCUUGAUCACCAGGAAUGCUGAGAUCACGAAGGAAGGCUGUUUUGGGCUGCUCAUUUGUCCUCAGUGGUAGAUAACGAGCAAAGCAUCCUUUUCCUCUACAAUCUACACUGCUUCCUGUAUUCCUUACCCAACCAUCGAUCGAGUCAAAACUCCUCCCUUCACCUUACAGCUGCCUGGUCACCAGCUCCCACAGGAGUUUUCUAGAUCUGUCCAGUUCCACUUCUGAAACCCGGCUCUCAGCUCUCACCUAUCUGAUUUCACACUCAUACUUUUAAAUUAAAUUAUCUGGUGUGAGAUGGCAGGGUAACUCCUAGAAUGCAGGUAGAACACUACUCCUCCUCUGCCUCACUUCUGCCCAUAGAGGUCCAAGCCCUGUGGCGUGCCCCUCAGUUAAGGGUCUCUCACAGCAUCCUUACCUCCUCUCACUCCUGCUCAUCGCGGUUCUAAUCACACAGCUCUAGCUUGCUUUAAUUUGCUGUGUCUCUCCGACCCUCUUCUCUUCUCUUCCUCCUGGAUGGCACUAUUUCUUUGUCACUCAAAGCAACUCAAAAUAAAGCUCUGUGGUCUCCAGGGCUCACAUUUUUGAGGAGAGAGGACCAUGAGCAAGGUAAGAACACAGAGCCUGGCACAGGGGUAGAGGCCAGGGAAGGCCUUCCUGAGGAGGAAUCUUUUGUUAGCCACUGUCUUUUGACUCACACAGCCUCUCACAGAAUGUGUGUGUGUGUGUGUGUGUGUGUGUCUGUCUGUCUGUCUGUCUGUCUGUCUGUGUACAUGUCCUUCUUCCUUUCAGUGGAAUCAGUCUUUUUUCCCUGGCUGCUGUAAGGUUGUUCUUAUCAUUACUGGUUAUUCACAGUUUGAUUAUAAGUCUUAUGGUGGUGUGUGUGGGUUGGGGUGAUGGGUUGGGGUGGGGGUGUAUGACGUGUGUCCUGUUUGAAGUUUCUUGGUGUUUUUGCUUUGUUUUAGUUUGUUUUUUUUUUAAUCUUUUGUUUUGUUUUAGCUUCUUGGAGAAUGAACUUCUGUUAUGUUUAACCGUAUUUGGAAAGUUUUCACUACCCGUUCUUUCCGUGUUCUCUGUACUUUCUUUCCUCUGCUGUCCUGGGACCCAGAUGAACGAGUGUGAGGUCUCCAGGUCUGUUCCGUGAUUUGCUUCCCUGUGCUCCUCUGUGUAGUUUUGCAUGGCUCUGCUGGUGUCUUCAAGGUAACUGCUACUUUCUUCAGUUUGUCAUGAAUCCCAGUCAGUGAAACCUCACAUCACUAACAAGAUUCCAUUUUGGUUGUUUUCUUACUGCUUCUUUAUUUUUCUUUAAGAUGGGGUAUCACUACACAGCCCGGGCUGGCCUCCAUCCCUCGGCCUCGGCCUCAGCCUCAGCCCCAGCCUCAGCCCCAGCCUCAGCCUCAGCCCCAGCCCCAGUCCCAGCCCCAGCCUCAGCCUCAGCCCCAGCCCCAGCCUCAGCCUCAGCCUCAGCCUCAGCCCCAGCCCCAGC